AAACCAGCACCUCAAGUGGUCAGGAUGAUUAUUGGGCCUAAAGCAUCCGUAGCCUGCUCUGUAAGUUUUCGGUUAAAUCUGUACGCUCAACUUACAGGCUGCCGGGAAUACUGCAGAGCUAGGGAGUGGGAGAGGUAGACGGUACUCGGGAGGAAGUGGUAAAAUGCUUUGAUCUCUCGAUGACCACCUGUGGCGAAGGCGGUCUACCAGAACACGUCCGACGGUGAGGGAUGAAAGCUGGGGGAGCAAACCGGAUUAGAUACCCCUGUAGUCC
rnacentral:rRNA from 1 species